rnacentral:lncRNA from 1 species
AUUAAGUAAUUUCAUACCAGUAGGAGAAAGGGCAGCUUCAGAAACAGAAAUACCACGGCAUGAUUUCACUGGAUAUAUGAAUAUUGAUUUAACUUGUGCACUUCCUACUUCUGCCAUAUCAACAAAGAGAACAACUACUCUCUCUUUCUUCACUCUUCACUUAAUAAUAAAUAAAUUUUCUCCCUUAGCAACGUGUUCUGGUCGACUUAUCUUAUCACUAUUGUCGUCCUAUCACUAUUGCGCGCCAAACCAUUUUCAGCUGAUUUGGUUCCUGUCAGCUCCUUUGGCUUCAUUCCUCUUAUCUCACCUCAGAUUUUUAAAUCUUUUUGUCGGUGUUCUAAAUCAAGUGAAAUGGACAUCUGUUAUUACUAUACUACGGUGAAAACACUUCCGAAUUUAUACAUAUAGAUAUAGUUAAGCAAG